UCAGUUGUUUUUAAAACAUUUUGCUAACAGUUUAUCUCUCAGAUUGGGUAAUGUAUGCUCUAAAAUUUGCCACAAAACAUAAAAUUCAUAAAAUUGGAAAAAAAGAUUCUUAACUAAUUCUUUAUCUGUGCUUUGGGAAACAUACCUUGUAUUCAUUUCUGUCUGUAAAAGACAGCAUUAUGUUGACAGAUAAAGGUACAUCCACAAUCCUCUCAAAACUUUACUAAGGUCAUAGAUCCCCUCCUUCCCACCCGCCAGUAUUUAAGGGAAUUUGGUAAUGUGCUUGAAAGGUGUUUGAUUUUUUCCAAGUAAAGAGAAAGAAGGGGAUGAGCUUUGAGAGAAGGAGACUAAUUUAAAUUGUCUCCCUUUCUUUUUUUUUUUUGGACCUUUUCUCUUCCAGAAGAAAGUUCUGGUGAAGUUUGUUAAAAAGAAGUUUCCAAGCCAUUUACUCUUUUUUUAAACAAACCUAAAGCUUUUGGAUUUAUUGGACUUUUCUGUCUUUGUAUGGGUUGAAUAUCACAGCUAAUAGCACAGUAAUAAUUACAUGUCAUUCUCUUUAUCCUCUUUGUGCACUGCCAAUCAGCAAAGGUGUCCCAUUUCACACAUCAUUUGCAACGUCCUAUGGUAAUACCGCAUAUUUUGGGGAAUAGCUGUUGAAUGUAGUCAUUAAUCUCUAUUUUGAGAUGUGUAGUUCCAGAUUCUGGACCCAAUUCUGUGAUUAUUUGAAUAUACAGAGUUCUUGGUGAAGUCAAUGGGCUAGCAAGACUAUGCUCAGAUCCCAAGAGAAAGAAUACAGUCCUAGUUACAGUAUCUGACUGCCUGUGCAGAAACAUUCGCCAAUUGUUGCUGUGUGUCACUGAAGAGGAGAGAUACAGCAGUUUCCACUAGGCAGUGAGAGUGAAAGGAGUCACUGGCAGAUGAACUUUGUGGCAUACCAAAUGGUUUCAGGUUGAAUCUGUUUCAGUUAGAAAUUCACAGAAAACCAGCAACUAUAUUUAUACAUUUUAAUGGGCUGAAUAUAGGAUCAACUCCUAUGAACUUCUGCUGUCUUCAUCACUCAUAUGAAACACACCCUUGGCUAUUUCAAUUUCACCUCUGUUUCAUCAUUACCAUAAACACCAUGUAUGUGUUGGUUUAUUAGUGGUGCUGAGAAGUAGUUGGUGCAGCUAAUGUUUUUAUAGUACUUUAACUAGAGGAGCAUAACAGAAAUAUUUUCUAUUAUUGUUAUUAAUGUUUUCAAUGAUAUCUUUACUGAGUGGGUUCUCUGCUUUGAGAUGUAAAUACACAGAUGAAUGGCCUUGAUUCUGCUAUUUUUGAAAUUACCUGGAAAUAUGAGGGAGAUAGUUUGGGUAGUUUAUUUGUUAGAUACCCUUUUCCUGAUAUAUUUUUCCUUCUACUGAUUCCCAGAUACUGUGCUAUAGAUCAUGGUUUACAAUGAUCAGAAAGGAUGCUGACAUAAAGUAUUAUUGUUGAAAGCAGAAAGAGAGAUUUUACUUAUCAGCUUGAGACACUUUACAAAUAAAUUCAUUACCAUCACAACAACAAAGUUGAACAUAAUCUCAUUCGUGUACCAUAGAGGACAGUUCUGAGUUUUGUACUAGCACGCCUUCAAUUUUUGUUGCUAAAACAUAUGAUUUUUUUUUUAAAUUAUCAUAUUUCUGAAAAAGUUCAAGAUUUGAAUGUCUCUCACAGUCUUCACAAUCAUGAAAGCAAAAUUAAAACUUAGAUAAAAAGGAAAAUAUAAUCAUGGCUUUGAAUCUAAUAUUUGGGCAUUAGCCCCAAAUGUUUACUAAUUAUGCCCUUAAGUAACACCUCAGGAUCAGAGAAGCUAAAUGGGGGAAAGAAUGUGAAGAAAAACAGCUAUUCUUCUCUAAAAAAUUAAAAUUGUUCAUUCAAUUAAAAAACCCUUAAUAAAAGUCCGUACUUGCAUUCAUGUUGCCCACGGGAAGGUCUAAUUCAUGCUGGCCAUUAAUGAAAGCUUUAUAUGGCCUUUAAGGAAAAACUGACAAGUUACCACAGCAACCUUAGUAAUGCUUGUUAACGUAUAUAAGAAAUAAAAUCUGGAUACUUAGAAUGCAUCCUAAAUUCUUGUUUUAUAAGAUAAAACUUAGUCAAAUGUUAAUAGGUUUAAAAGAUUUGUAAUUUCAGUUACUGAUACAUUCUUAUGUAUGUUUUUAAAUGGUGUACUGAAAGGUCUUUCUUUUGCAGUUGACAAGUCUACUGUUUGAUUACAUGUGAACCAAUGUCUGGCAAUAAGUUGGCCAUUGUAAUACUUCUUUGCUCAAUUCACUUAGUAUAGAGAUAAUAUUUUCUAAAUUGGAACUU